ACGCGUGGUACGUACCUUUUGGUUCGGAACAACACAGGGAAACUUGUGCUAAUACCGGAUAAGCCCUUACGGGGAAAGAUUUAUCGCCGAAAGAUCGGCCCGCGUCUGAUUAGCUAGUUGGUGAUGUAAUGGCUCACCAAGGCGACGAUCAGUAGCUGGUCUGAGAGGAUGAUCAGCCACAUUGGGACUGAGACGCGGCCCAAACUCCUACGGGAGGCAGCAGCGGGGAAUAUUGGACAAUGGGGGCAACCCUGAUCCAGCCAUGCCGCGUGAGUGAUGACCGCCCUAGGGUUGUAAAGCUCUUUUGUGCGGGAAUAUAAUGACGGUACCGCAAGAAUAAGCCCCGGCUAACUUCGUGCCAGCAGCCGCGGUAAUACGAAGGGGGCUAGCGUUGCUCGGAAUCACUGGGCGUAAAGGGUGCGUAGGCAAGUCUUUAAGUGAGGGGUGAAAUCCUGGAGCCCCCACCCCAGAACUGCCUUUGAUACUGAAUAUCUUGAGUCCGGGAGAGGUGAGUGGAACUGCUAGUGUAGAGGUGAAAUUCGUAGAUAUUCGCAAGAGCACCAGGGGCGAAGGCGGCUCACUGGCCCGGUACUGACGCUGAAGCACGAAAGCGUGGGGAGCAAACAGGAUUAGAUACCCUGUUACACUCACGCCGCAAAACGAUGAAUGCCAGCCGUUAAUGGGUUUACUUACUAGUGGCGCACCUAACGCUUUACGCAUUCCCGCUUGGGGAGUACGACCGCAAGAUUAAAUCUCAAACGCAUUCGACGGGGGGCUCCGCGCAGCGGAUGGACCAUGGUGGUAUAAUUUCGACGCAACGCGCAGAACCUCUACCAGCUCGUUUGACAUGACGAGGAAUCUAGAUUCGCAAAAAUAUGUGUACACCUCACUCCAUUCGGCGAAGGCCCUGUGGGAGACGCUCACGAUG
rnacentral:rRNA from 1 species